rnacentral:rRNA from 1 species
GACGAACGCUGGCGGCGUGCUUAACACAUGCAAGUCGAGCGGUAAGGCCCCUUCGGGGGUACACGAGCGGCGGACGGGUGAGUAACACGCGCGUGAGCAGCCCUCACCUCUGGGAUAAGUCUGGGCAAGUGGGUCUAGUACCGGAUAUGACCGUGCUUCGCCUGGGGGUUGGUGGAAAGUUUUUUCGGGUGGGGAUGGGCCCGCGGCCUGUCAGCUUGUUGGUGGGGUGGUGGCCUACCUAGGCGGCGACUGGUGGCCGGCCUGCGAGGGCGACCGGCCGGGGUGGGAGUGAGGCACGACCCGGAUACCUGCGGGAGGCGGCAGUAGGGUAUAUUACGGAGUGGGCGGAAGCCUGACGCAGCGACGGCGCGUGAGGGAUGCCGGCCUUCGGGUAAUAAACCUCUUUCGACCCCGACGAAUUUGGACGGUAAGGGUAGAAGAAGCACCGGCCAACUACGUG